GAUGAACGCUGGCGGCGUGCUUAACACAUGCAAGUCGAACGAAGCACAUACGGCGGAACUUUUCGGAGGGAAGAUGUAUGUGACUGAGUGGCGGACGGGUGAGUAACGCGUGGGUAACCUGCCCCAUAGAGGGGGACAACAGUUGGAAACGACUGCUAAUACCGCAUAAGAAAGAAUUGCCGCAUGGCAGUUUUUUGAAAGAUUUAUCGCUAUGGGAUGGACCCGCGUCUGAUUAGCUAGUUGGGAGGGUAACGGCCUACCAAGGCAACGAUCAGUAGCCGGCUUGAGAGAGUGAACGGCCACAUUGGGACUGAGACACGGCCCAG
rnacentral:rRNA from 1 species